CCUACGGGAGGCAGCAGUGGGGAAUAUUGCGCAAUGGGCGGAAGCCUGACGCAGCGACGCCGCGUGAGGGAUGAAGGCCUUCGGGUUGUAAACCUCUUUCGGUCGGGACGAAGCGUGAGUGACGGUACCGACAGAAGAAGCGCCGGCCAACUACGUGCCAGCAGCCGCGGUAAGACGUAGGGCGCAAGCGUUGUCCGGAUUUAUUGGGCGUAAAGAGCUCGUAGGCGGCUUGUCGCGUCGUCCGUGAAAACCUGGGGCUUAACUCCGGGCGUGCGGUCGAUACGGGCAGGCUAGAGGUAGGUAGGGGAGAUUGGAAUUCCUGGUGUAGCGGUGAAAUGCGCAGAUAUCAGGAGGAACACCGGUGGCGAAGGCGGAUCUCUGGGCCUUACCUGACGCUGAGGAGCGAAAGCGUGGGGAGCGAACAGGAUUAGAUACCCUAG
rnacentral:rRNA from 1 species